GAAUCGCAUGGCCUUGCGCCGGCGAUGGUUCAUUCAAAUUUCUGCCCUAUCAACUUUCGAUGGUAGGAUAGUGGCCUACCAUGGUGGCAACGGGUAACGGGGAAUUAGGGUUCGAUUCCGGAGAGGGAGCCUGAGAAACGGCUACCACAUCCAAGGAAGGCAGCAGGCGCGCAAAUUACCCAAUCCCGAUACGGGGAGGUAGUGACAAUAAAUACUGAUACAGGGCUCUUUUGGGUCUUGUAAUUGGAAUGAGAACAAUCUAAAUCCCUUAACGAGGAACAAUUGGAGGGCAAGUCUGGUGCCAGCAGCCGCGGUAAUUCCAGCUCCAAUAGCGUAUAUUAAAGUUGUUGCAGUUAAAAAGCUCGUAGUUGAACCUUGGGCCCGUCCUGCCGGUCCGCCUCACCGCGAGUACUGGUCCGGAUGGGCCUUUCUUUCUGGGGAAUCCCAUGGCCUUCACUGGCUGUGGCGGGGAACCAGGACUUUUACUGUGAAAAAAUUAGAGUGUUCAAAGCAGGCCUUUGCUCGGAUACAUUAGCAUGGAAUAAUAGAAUAGGACGUGCGGUUCUAUUUUGUUGGUUUCUAGGACCGCCGUAAUGAUUAAUAGGGAUAGUCGGGGGCGUCAGUAUUCAGCUGUCAGAGGUGAAAUUCUUGGAUUUGCUGAAGACUAACUACUGCGAAAGCAUUCGCCAAGGAUGUUUUCAUUAAUCAGGGAACGAAAGUUAGGGGAUCGAAGACGAUCAGAUACCGUCGUAGUCUUAACCAUAAACUAUGCCGGCUAGGGAUCGGGCGGGGUUUCUAUGAUGACCCGCUCGGCACCUUACGAGAAAUCAAAGUUUUUGGGUUCUGGGGGGAGUAUGGUCGCAAGGCUGAAACUUAAGGAAAUUGACGGAAGGGCACCACAAGGGCGCGGAGCCUGCGG
rnacentral:rRNA from 1 species